GACGAACGCUGGCGGCGUGCUUAACACAUGCAAGUCGAGGGGCAGCAUGAUUGUAGCAAUACAAUUGAUGGCGACCGGCAAACGGGUGCGGAACACGUACACAACCUUCCAACAAGUGGGGGAUAGCCCAGAGAAAUUUGGAUUAAUACCCCGUAACAUAGCGAUGUGGCAUCACAUUGCUAUUAUAGAUUUUUCGCUUGUUGAUGGGUGUGCGGCUGAUUAGAUAGUUGGCGGAGUAACGGCCCACCAAGUCUACGAUCAGUAGCUGAUGUGAGAGCAUGAUCAGCCACACGGGCACUGAGACACGGGCCCGACUCCUACGGGAGGCAGCAGUAAGGAAUAUUGGACAAUGGACGCAAGUCUGCUCCAGCCAUGCCGCGUGAAGGAUUAAGGUCCUCUGGAUUGUAAACUUCUUUUAUAAGGGACGAAAAAAGGCUUUUCUAAGUCGUCUGACGGUACCUUAUGAAUAAGCACCGGCUAACUCCGUGCCAGCCGCCGCCGUAAGAC
rnacentral:rRNA from 1 species